AUGAUACAAGAAGACCUCUCAAAAAAGCUAACAGAUAAAAGGUUUCUUCUAGUACUUGAUGAUGUAUGGAAUGAGGACCCUGAAAAGUGGUAUACAUAUCACCGUGCUCUAGUUACUGGGGGAAAGGGAAGCAGAAUCGUAGUAACCACAAGGAACAAAAAUGUGGGGAUAGUAAUGGGCGGGAUGGCUCCAUAUUAUCUCAAUCAGUUAUCUGACGAUGAUUGCUGGUAUUUGUUCAGAAGCUAUGCAUUUGUAGAUGGUAAAUCCAUUGAAGACCCAAAUUUGGUACGAAUAGGCAUGGAAAUUGUAAAGAAGUUGAAAGGCCUGCCACUGGCUGCAAAAGCAAUAGGCAGCUUACUAUAUUCCAAGGAUACCGAGGAUGAUUGGGAAAAUGUAUUAAGGAGUGAAAUAUGGGAAUUGCCAUCAGAUAAGAACAAUAUAUUACCAGCUCUGAGAUUGAGUUACAAUCAUUUGCCGCCCGUACUGAAGAGAUGUUUUGCAUUUUGCUCGGUCUUUCACAAAGAUUAUGUGUUUGAGAAAGACAGGUUCGUCCAGAUAUGGAUGGCCCUUGGGUUUAUUCAGCCAUAG
rnacentral:rRNA from 1 species